rnacentral:lncRNA from 1 species
UUUACUGAGCUCUUUUUUACUAUAUGCCAGGCAGUAUUCUCAAUAUUUUGCAUGUAUUAAGUGAUUUCAUUUUCUCAACACCCCUAUGAAGCAAAUACUUCUGUGAGCCCCAUGUUACAAAUGGAGAAACCAAGGCUCAUGGAGAUUAACAUAUCUCAUUUUGGACUAGCCAUCUUUCAAGAGCUCAACAGCCACGUGCUAUUAAUGGCUACCACAUUAAAGGCUCCAAGUCUAGAUGGAAAAUAAACAAGUAAACCUAUAAACACAGUUAAUAGAUGUUUUUCAGCUGCAAUCUGUACUGUGACUGGAAUGAGAAAGCCUUAAUUCAUACCAUCUUCCGAUGAUACAAGACAAGCAAGUUUGUAAUUUAAUAAACGCAGUCAAACCUGA